AACACGAGCCCAUGCCCACCUCUAGUUUACACCAAAGCUUGUUCAUUCGUAAAUGUCAAUUCUUUUCUUGCGCAUCAUUAACACGCAUAUCGUGCGUAUCUUUUGGGUAAAAUGAACUUUCAUUUUUAUGGACCCGUAUAUUUUAUUUCACCUGCUCCUUUUGAAGCAGCAUCACAGGCAUGCGCUGCACCACCAGCUUUAGCUGCUCCACUUCCACCACAACCACCAAUAGCACUUCAAUCACCACCACAACCACCAUCAGCAGGACCUCCCCCAGCGAAAGUAAGGAAGACCAGAGUGUCUGAAAUAAAGAAAGUCUAUGUCAUUAGGGAAGGUGAGAGGCUGGACGGGAGGGCUCCAAGAGUUUUCCAAUGCGAGAGGCGGCAAUGCCCAUACUGUUUUUUAAAAUUGAAAACAUCAAAGCUAUAUGAUGAGCAUGUUGCAUCGUGUUUAACAGUUGCGAAAACAUUCCCAUGUAGUCUGUGCCCCUUCGUGGGAAGGACAUCCACUGGGAGUCACCAAAAGGGGUGCACAGGUGAAAAUGGGGUACUAUUUACAUGCAAUGCUAAUUAUGCGAAAAUAAGGUCUGAUUGGCAAGGAUUGAAGGAGAAAGAAAAUGUAAAUAUUAAUAUAAUGAGUCAUUAUCCGAAGUGCCGUAAUUCUUUCUCCAAAGAAUUUUAAGUUUCGUUUAUAAUUUAAUGAUAAUAUAGUUAUGAGCUAUAAUUUAAUUAUGGAUUAAGGAAUAAUAAGGAAAUAUAAUAUAUUCGUUUGAUUUUAAAAA